rnacentral:rRNA from 1 species
AAAUUGAAGAGUUUGAUCAUGGCUCAGAUUGAACGCUGGCGGCAGGCCUAACACAUGCAAGUCGAACGGUAACAGGAAGCAGCUUGCUGUUUCGCUGACGAGUGGCGGACGGGUGAGUAAUGUCUGGGAAACUGCCUGAUGGAGGGGGAUAACUACUGGAAACGGUGGCUAAUACCGCAUAACGUCGCAAG